UACAGAGGUCUCAAGCGUUGUUCGGAUUCAUUGGGCGUAAAGGGCGCGUAGGCGGCGAGGUAAGUCGGGUGUGAAAUCUCAGAGCUCAACUCUGAAACUGCACUCGAUACUGCUUUGCUAGAGGACUGGAGAGGAGAUUGGAAUUCACGGUGUAGCAGUGAAAUGCGUAGAGAUGUGGCGGAACACCGAUGGCGAAGGCAGCCCCCUGGGUCAAGAUUGACGCUCAGGCACGAAAGCGUGGGGAGCAAACAGG
rnacentral:rRNA from 1 species